rnacentral:tRNA from 1 species
GCUCCUGUAAUCUAGCCCGGUCAAAAGAGUUUACAGUCUCGAGUCUCGAGUCUUGAACUAUUUACUGAUAGGAUGUCAGACUCUCACUCUGAAUACCCGAGUUCAAAUCUCGGCAGGAGCG